rnacentral:pre_miRNA from 1 species
AAAGUAUGGUGCAGCCAAGGAUGACUUGCCGACUCUACACAGAUGGAUUUUGCUUUUCUCCCUCAAGACUUUAAGAGGAUUUGCAGAAGCUAACUAAGUCGGCGAGUUGUCUUUGGCUACAUGUUUCUUUCU